rnacentral:rRNA from 1 species
AUUGAACGCUGGCGGAAUGCUUUACACAUGCAAGUCGAACGGCAGCACGGGGCAACCUGGUGGCGAGUGGCGAACGGGUGAGUAAUACAUCGGAACGUGCCCAAUCGUGGGGGAUAACGUAGCGAAAGUUACGCUAAUACCGCAUACGAUCUACGGAUGAAAGCGGGGGAUCGCAAGACCUCGCGCGAAUGGAGCGGCCGAUGUCAGAUUAGGUAGUUGGUGGGGUAAAGGCUCACCAAGCCAACGAUCUGUAGCUGGUCUGAGAGGACGACCAGCCACACUGGAACUGAGACACGGUCCAGACUCCUACGGGAGGCAGCAGUGGGGAAUUUUGGACAAUGGGCGCAAGCCUGAUCCAGCCAUUCCGCGUGCAGGAUGAAGGCCUCGGUUGU